UACGGGAGGCAGCAGUGGGGAAUAUUGGGCAAUGGGCGAAAGCCUGACCCAGCAACGCCGCGUGAGUGAAGAAGGCUUUCGGGUUGUAAAGCUCUGUUAUAGGGGACGAAGGAAUGACGGUACCCUAUAAGGAAGCCCCGGCUAACUACGUGCCAGCAGCCGCGGUAAU
rnacentral:rRNA from 1 species